rnacentral:lncRNA from 1 species
UGGCCGGAGUGUUGUCACUGUGAGUUGGGGCGCACACAAGCACAGGGGGCCGUCGUGUGGUGAGCUGGGCCCAGUGGCUCACCCUUCACCCUUUCUCCACACGUCUUCCUGAAGUAGACCAAGUGUGUGUUUUCAGUAAGCAGCUGUGACUGUACUAACACAUUGAGUUAGAACCAUUUGAAUAGGUUUUGAAUCUGCUUUUUCAUUGUUCACUUUUAAUAGUAUUAAGCAUUUAUUUGGGAAACAAAGGAUUGUAAUUUGGGUAAGCUGAGUCACGGUGGCCCUGAGUAGUGUCCUAGAAAGCAAACACGAGAGUUUUGGUUUUUCUCUUUGAGACGGAGUCUCACUCUGUUGCCCAGGCUGGAGUGCAGUGGCGUGAUCUCAGCUCACUGCAACCUCCAUCUCCUGGGUUCAAGCGAUUCUCCUGCCUCAGCCUCCUGAGUAGCUGGGACUACAGGUGUGCACCACCACCCCUGACUAAUUUUUGUAUUUUUAGUAGAGAUGAGGUUUCACCAUGUUGGCCAGGCUGGUCUCGAACUUCUGACCUCAGGUGAUCCUCCCACCUCAGCCUCCCAAAGUGCUGGGAAUAUAGGUGUGAGCCACCUCGCCCGGCCUGGAGAGAUUUGUUUAGGGGAUUUCCACAAAGGGGUUUUGGAGGUAGUUCAUUGGCUGGGCAGAAAUCCUAAAUGAAACCCAUUCUGAUGGGUUAGUUCUUAAGGGCACUCCCAGCUGGGAGAUGUGAAGGCCGUCAGGGGCUGACUUCAGCUGUUGGUCCAAGUCUACGGGCGCGUCCUGUGGACUGGCCGUCAGCCGUGUGAAUGCAGGCCUCCCGCAGCCGCCCAGUUCCACUUAGCCUCAGCAUUAGUGACUUCAUUUUCUUUCACAUUUCCCCCUUUUGACCAAGUUCUUCCUCCAGAAAGUGUCACAGAUCAGUUGGUGAAUGUGAUGAUGUCCCUUGUUGCUGGGAGGGACUUGUCCCAGGGAGUCAUGUCCCUCGUUGGGGACGUGACCUCAGUCAAGCUCAACUGUCAUCUGCUUCACUUUUGGGUCAGUUUUCAUUUCAGGUGAUUGUCCGAAUUCCAGCAGGGGUAGAGGUUUCUUUAAAUGAGAAACCUCAAUCCAAGGGUCAACACCUUUUAGUUUGGCAGCACAGGGAUGGGUAAGGAGUACCUGAUGUGGACUCUUCACUGAGGUUGAAGGAAAUCUUUUUGUAAAUGUCUUUUCCAAUAGAGAAAAUGAUCAGGCUGAAGGUUGUGAUGUCUGGUGCCUUUAUCAACUGGGAACACACUGUGUAAAGAUUGUCUGACCAGGGUAUGACUUGCGUGGACAGCCUUCAUUAUUCCUUUACAAUACUGGAGCAUGUCUCCUUUCAUCAGUGGACUAUUAAAAGCAGAAGGGACUCUAUGCAUUGGCCCUCCAGUGAUCAUUUCAAAAGGUGACAACUUGCAGUUUCCAAAAGGUGCAGACCUUAGAUUCAGAAGGACCAGAGGAAGUGCCUUUGGCCGGGGCAAUUUUAGUGCUUCCUGAAAUUCUGCCAGUUGAUGCCAUCUGUGCUUUCCACCAGUCUGCAAGAUUGGGGAUGGUAGGCACAAUGACAGUGCUGUCAUGUGGACCAGACUUCACAGAUUUGUUUUAUGACCUGGCCAGUGGAGCUCCUUGUCACUACCUGUGAAGAUAUGCCCUUGUCACUUAGGGAGAAUCUGUUCUUGUAGAGUUUGCAGCAUCUGAGGCAGCGGCACAUCAGGAAGGGAAUGCUUCUACCCAGGAGAAGAACAUGCAAAUCAUCACGACAUACUUACAGUCUUGAGAGGCAGUGGCUGGAUGAAGUCCAUUUGCCAAACCUCAGAGGGUCCACUUGGCAGGUCAGAAUGACCUGGGACUCUCCGAAUUGUCUUUGCUGGGUUGAAUUUUGGACAAACAGCACAAGGCAGUUGUGCCUCUUCGGCCGCCCUUGAAAUAUUUCCCCACCAAUACUGUUUUGUAAACGUGUAAGUUCAUUAGUUGCCCAAUGAGUCGUCUGACGUGUUCAUAGAUUCUGGUAACACUGGCUCAUGGGGUGCUGGGGACAGAGUGUCUUUAAUAACAUCAUUUACAUCCUUUUUGGGAAAAUUAUCUUAGCUGUAAGGUUUUUGGUCUCAGUGAAACUCAAGGCAGCGGCUUUUGCUGUGGAAUCAACCAAGUUUUUCUUUAGCCUCAUCUGACUCCAAUUUUGAAUACCCAGAAAUUUUGAUUAUGGCCAGAGGGAAGCCAAAUUGAAUUUAAUAAACUAUUGACAAAAGUGUCAUUUUUAAUUUGGUUCCCUCUGGAGGUUAAAAAGUCUGUUUCCAAAGCACACCAAACUCACGAACAACCCGAACGAGGGGCAGGAGGAGCCCUGGGCCCAGGACUCCACCUUUCAGUGCUUUAUCAGCCUCUGUGAGUUCAGGCGCUGUGUUUUGGAGAGAGGCAAUGUUAGAGUUCUGAUGGCAUCCAGCCAGAUGCCUCCAAAUGCCAAUUAAAACAAGCACCCCAUCUGGACGUGUAUAUUUUAAUACAUAGCCACGGGCCGUUCUCUCGCUUCUGGAGGAGCUGCACCCAACGCUCCUCGCGCUCAGUAUCUUUCCAUGAGCACGCCCCCUUCCUAGGGCUCUGUGGCUUCCCACAUGCUAAGACCCUUGUUUUGGAACCAAGUUCUUCUAAUUUAGUUCAGAGAAAACCUAGGUUGGUGUAGCAAAGGAACCCCAGUUUGGCCAAUGUAAAAAGGUCCAUUGCUCCAGAUAAACGGGGCUGGAGUCCAGAGGGGGCACAACUGUUACGAGGUUUAGACGCACAGAGUCCCAUACUUAAGAUAAUAAUACUCACCAUUGGGAAAAUCUCCAGUAAGCAGGGAAAACGUCCUCCAAGCUGAAAGCCUUUGCCGGCACAGAGGCAGCAACUGCCCCCAGAUUCCCAAAUAAAGGUAUCAGCCUCAGUUGAAGGGAGGUGCUGGCCCCAAAGAAGGGGCGCGCACAGGGGCCUCUGUGUUGUGGGGACUUCACCCGAUUCCAGAGAAAGCCGCUCAAAGGAGAGAUCUUGCUAAGCCCUGCUCCUGACACCAGCUGUGUUCACGAAGAAAAGAUUGACACGGAGGUAGAAUGAAUGACUGCUUAUUUGGGAAACAAAGACUGCAGCUUGGGUACACUGAGUCAGCCCUGAGCAGUGUCCUGAAGGCAAGCGCUGGGAAGGCUUUUAUAGGGGGUUCCACAAAGGUUGUUUCUGGAGGCCGUUCAUUGGCUGGGCAGAAACCCUUAAUUACAAACCCGUGCUGAUUGUCAGUUGGUGAGGAUGCUCCCCGUGGGAUGUGACUUCAGCUGUGUGUCCGAGCCUCUGGGCAGGUCCUGUGGACUGGCCGUUAGCAGGUGUGAGUCCAGUCCCCCCGCGGCCGCCCAGCUCACCUCAGAAAGCCUCAGUGAUUUCCUUUUGUCUCUCAGUACAAAUGAUGUCCGGCUGUGCGCAAUCGUCAGGAGGCAUUUGAGAAACCGGCCAGCACGGACGGGGCGUUAAUCAUUAGCACGUGCAGCUCAGGGCCCUCCAGCGGCUCCUCAUCACCCGGAGGACCCAUGUCUCUGGAACACAGCUCAACCUUGCGGGAACAGGACCACCGGCCAGUGUGUGCAGACUGUGUGCAGAAGGUGCUUUUGACACUUAGUUUUGCUAUCUAGAAACAG